AAACAGCUAUUCGAACCGCAGAGAGAGGAUGGACUCAUGCCAGCCGUGUUAAAGGACCCAUCGGUGACGAGAAGUGGGAGGUAGCCCCCGGGAGUGACGACCUGAAACUUACACUGCGACAAGCCCAAUGGGUAUUCCAGGUAAAGGCUCCCCCUGAAGAACACUACUGCUGCCGAGAAGAACUAAAAAAACCCCUCGUAGCUGGUUGCAACCCAGUUGACGAGUGAGGCAGAGGAGUGAAUUGUGGGGAAAGAUGGGCCUUAGGGGUAUCCAUUGGUACUUGGGGAUUCUCACAGUGAUCACAUUUUGUAUAGCAGCACAACGCCACCCACACCAAGCUUCCUUACAUCCCUGUGUGACCUGGUACCUAUACAGCCCAGUCUAAACCAAAAGGGUUACUAUUUUUGCCUAAGCUCAAACCUAGGGAGGGGAUACUGUAACCACCCAGGCUCAUAUUACUGUGCCUAUUAGGGAUGUGAAACUAUUGCCUCAGAUUGGGCACCUGGGAGGAGAGGCCGUGUCCCAGCAGGGCCUGGCCAGGCUCGGCAAGGAGUCCCAGGGCAGUCACGGGCCGAGCCUGGCUGUGCCCUGGGUUGGUGGGAGCCGCUGAGGCUGCUAGGGAUGCUCCCCUCUCACUCGCUGCUUUCUGUGCCCAUACAGAAGGAAAGGUCCAAACGUCCCAAACAGAGGAAGUGCCAACACGGAGCUAACCAGGCAAAUUCUAGAGUUUGGGACUUGUGCACGUCUUCACAGCACGCGAGGAUGCACUCCUCAGUGCCCAGUCAGACGGAUGACACCUAUGAAGCCAUCCAAUGUUUUUACAGAACUGUUCAAGACUCCAACAGAUGCUUGGACAGGCUCAUGUUGCAAAUGCCUGAGGGCAGCAAUGAGGGCAGCAAUGAGGGCAGCAACGAGGGCACCAUCACCUGUUGUGGGGAUAUGAAGACACCUUGCCCACAACCAAAGUCCCAGGAGCGGGACCUGCCCUUGGUGGAUGAGGCUAUGAGAAGUCUCCUGGAGCAUCCUGACAUGAAAAUGCAGGCACCAGAGCACCUGCAGAAGAGCCUCUCAGAGCCUAAUCUGGGGCACAAAGACUCCCAGCUUCCACAUCCACUGAGGCAAACAAGGAGGUCCGCUCGCUUGCCCUUCCAGCGCAGGCACAUGCAGGCUCAGGCAUGGAGGUCAUCAGCAGAGGCCUUUGGCCAACGGCAAAAAUCUGCCUCCCUGAUGGACACACGCAAACAAGAAACAAUGCGUACAGUCCAUGCUGACUGCUACAGACUGUGUGAACAGCCUGACAACCAGGAGAACAGGUUGAUGUAUCAAUAUCUGGAGCAGUAUGCAUACGUUGAGAGGAAGAAGCGGGACUUUUUCACACCACACCGCGUCCUGCCUAGCAAUGAAGGAUCCAAGGGUGUGUCUCCAUCUGACCCUGUAGCCCAGCUUGAUGCAGGAAGAGCAAAAGUAGGAGAGAGAAAUCCACCUGCGGACAGGGCCAGUAAGCAGCAGGGCCAGAAAAAUACCACUGCUGCUCAAGAGCCAAAGGGGCUCCCUGGACAUACCCUUGCGGGAAGUAGAUCUUCAGUUGCGUCAAGCAGGAUUGUGCCAAAGGAUGAGCCAUUCAGGCCCCAGUCAGCAAAGCCAGAGGCGAGGCCCAAGCACGUGGCAGAACAACACAGGACACAAAGGUCAGAGACUCUAUCUCAGCUGUGUACAGGCUGCUGUGUGCCACGCUUUCUGUGCCGCUGCAUUCAGCGUGCCUGGGCCAAGCUCAAAGCAGCCAGCAAGGCCCUCUGUUCCAAGAUCAGAAAGGGAAGCGAGAAGCUCUCCAGGAAGGGAAAUAAGCCCUUCACAAACAACAGAUCCUCAGAGCCAACAAGGCUGGACGCGAGUCAUCAUGGGAGCAGACAAUCACUGACACCUCUGGCCAAAAUGAAAACCGCAAGUCCAUUUCUGGAGGGAACAAAGAAGGACUUGGUGGCAUCCGAAGACAAGUCUUUCAGUGCUGACAGUGACGUCACAGCUGCCAGUAAGCUCACAGCUGCCAGCAAGGUCACAGGCGCCAGCAAGGGAUCAAGCCAUGGUGGCAGCAGCCACAGGCACUCGGGCAUGCAGUCGCCAGUUCUCUCUGGGACCAGUAUUCCAGUCUCCCUCCUUCAGGAUGUAGCAGCAUGUCCUGCAGGAGGGAGAUUUGAAUAUUGGUCCCAGAGAGAUUUGGAGGCUCUGCGGGAGGGAGACCAGAAUGUUCUCCCUCCUCUUCACAGUGCAGAUCAUCAGCCAGAGGGGCUCCUGUGCAUUGAUGUCCCUAAGGACAUCAACCGAUGUCACUGCAGGAGGAAGCUCACAGAAUAAUGCAAAGUCCUACAAACUACGUAUCCCAGUGGACUUUGCAUUAUUCUGCAUGUAUGUAUAUGUAGUGCUAUUGCUCCGGUCAAUAGUGUUAUUGUCCGGAGCAAUAGCACUACACCCAGGAUGCUUUCCUGCAGAGAAAGCACUCCUCCACCAAGCAGAGAGCCUCAUGUCUGCCAGAGCCUCCAGUUCUCUCUGGGACCAGUAUUCCAAUCUCCCUCCUUUAGGAUGUAGCAGCAUGUCCUGCAGGAGGGAGAUUUGAAUAUUGGUCCCGGAGAGAUUUGGAGGCUCUGCGGGAGGGAGACCGGAAUGUUCUCCCUCCUCUUCACGGCUCACGGCUCUCUGUCCCUAAGGACAUCAACCGCUGUCACUGCAGGAGGAAGCCCACAGAAUAAUGCAAAGUUUUACAAACUACAUAUCCCAGUGGACUUUGCAUUAUUCUGCAUGUAUGUAUAUGUAGUGCUAUUGCUCCAGUCAAUAGUGUUAUAGAUGGGGAAUAUAAAUAAUGAAAAAUCAUAAAAAUUAGCCUCUCUCUAUUGCCACUUCUAAUGUGAGAAGUCUAGCCAGGGUUUUUGGAUUCUGUGAUUUUAUUUGACUUACGUAUUUUAAAUUUUUUUUUAAUUUCUUUAAUUAUUUCAAAAUAAAAUAAUUUCUCCUCACA
ensembl:lncRNA uncharacterized LOC107307794